rnacentral:rRNA from 1 species
AAACUUUCAGCAACGGAUCUCUUGGCUCAGGCAUCGAUGAAGAACGCAGCAAACUGCGAUAAGUAGUGUGACUUGCCGUCGUGAAUCAUUGAAUUUUUGAACGCACAUUGCGCUGGGGGGCAUUCCCCCCGGCAUGCAAGGUCGAGCGGCAAUCGUUUU